rnacentral:rRNA from 1 species
AAACAUGGCUCCUUGUAAAAUAAAGAUAGGGAGUCGGACCUGCCCAGUGAAAUUUUUUAACGGCCGCGGUACUCUGACCGUGCAAAGGUAGCAUAAUCAUUUGCCUUAUAAUUGAAGGCUUGUAUGAAUGGUUUGACAAGAAUGAAGCUGUCUCUUUAUAAUUAAUCUGAAUUUUAUAUAUAGGUGAAGAAGCCUAUAUUUUAUUGAAAGACAAGAAGACCCUAUCGAGCUUUAAAAAAGUUAAUAAGCCUAAAAAUCAAUAUUAAAAUAUAGAUUUUGUUAUUAAAUCAUUUUAGUUGGGGCGACUGAGGAACAAGCAAAGCUUCCUAUAUAAAUAAUAAAACAUUCAAGUAUUGACCCAGAAAUACUGAUUAAAGAAAUUAGUUACCGUAGGGAUAACAGCAUUAUCUUUUUUGAGAGCUCUAAUCGAAAAAAAGGUUUGUGACCUCGAUGUUGGACCAGAAUAUCCUAAAGAUGCAGCCGUCUUUAAGGGUUGGUCUGUUCGACCAUUAAAAUUCUACGUGAUCUGGU